rnacentral:rRNA from 1 species
GACGAACGCUGGCGGCGUGCCUAACACAUGCAAGUCGAACGAGGUCCAUCCUUCGGGAGAAGACCUAGUGGCGAACGGGUGAGUAACACGUGAGGAACCUGCCCUGAAGACCGGGAUAACCCUCCGAAAGGAGAGCUAAUACCGGAUACCCCCACCGGAUCGCAUGAUCUGGUGAGGAAAUGGAUUCCGCUUCAGGAGGG